UUAUUUGAGAGUUUGAUCCUGGCUCAGGAUGAACGCUGGCGGCGUGCCUAACACAUGCAAGUUGAGCGAUUUACUUCGGUAAAGAGCGGCGGACGGGUGAGUAACGCGUGGGUAACCUACCCUGUACACACGGAUAACAUACCGAAAGGUAUGCUAAUACGGGAUAACAUAUUUGAGAGGCAUCUCUUAAAUAUCAAAGGUGAGCCAGUACAGGAUGGACCCGCGUCUGAUUAGCUAGUUGGUAAGGUAACGGCUUACCAAGGCGACGAUCAGUAGCCGACCUGAGAGGGUGAUCGGCCACAUUGGAACUGAGACACGGUCCAAACUCCUACGGGAGGCAGCAGUGGGGAAUAUUGCACAAUGGGCGAAAGCCUGAUGCAGCAACGCCGCGUGAGUGAUGAAGGCCUUCGGGUCGUAAAACUCUGU
rnacentral:rRNA from 1 species